rfam:Papio anubis isolate 1X1155 chromosome 10, whole genome shotgun sequence.
GUGCUCAGUUCAGCAACACAUAUAUUAAAAUUGGAAAGACAUAGAGAAGAUUAGCACGGCCAUUAAAUAAAAAAUUUAAAAAAAACGUUGAAUUGUAUUUUAUCUUU